CAUGUUGGUGUACGGAAACGGAACCAUUUCCUUGUUCAGACGACGUCUUCAGACCAUAAGGAAACAAUACUGCAAUCUGCUGAUCGAGUUUCGCUUCUAUAUUGUUUUACGAUUUUUCGUAGUCCAAACAUAUAUAUAUAUACUAUAUAUAUGUAUAUAGAUAUAUGCCCGUAAUGCGGCCAUUUGACUGUUAGAUACUUUUUAUAUAUUUUACUUAUCAGUUAAUAAUUAGUUCUUAACGUUAAGUGUAUUGAGCAUAUUUUUUAAAUUGUCAAAGCGCAUAUCAUAACUGCUAUAUUUUUAAUUUUUAAUUUAGAGUUUAUUGUAUUAUUUAUAUAAGUAAUACAUUGACUGAUGAUCAAUCUGUGUAUCGGCGGCCAGCGGCUGAUGCUUACAAAAUACAAAUUCUCAAAAGCGAAAUUACACUUAUAGUGUAGGAACACUAUGGUAUUGUCCUUCUGAGUUACUGCUUGGUGGACUUAAUUACAGUUCUGCUGUAGAUGUGGGAAACAAGCUGCAUUAUGGUUGCAUUUUUUACUCAAUAUCCUAUUAUGCAUGGUUCUUCAAAAAAUAAGUCAAUUAAUGUUGAUAUCAUUAUUAUGUGGGUCAAUAAUACCAGAAGUAUGGCCUAACAUUGUCAAUCUCGAUGUGUAAAAAAAAAAUUACACUUCCAAAACAAAAUACAAGAAAGGUACAGACAUAUUUUAUACACCAUAUUUCUAGCAGUUUGGGAUGUGAUUUGAUUGACCAUUUAUUAAUGCUGGCUCGGGAAAGAGAAACGAUGGCGACACAGCUUUAAAUCAGGAUUUUUUUUGGAAAGAUCCCAUUCUCAGUGAUUUAUUUAGUCAUAUAAUAAAUAAAAAACAAUUGCCAUGAAUACAAUAUAUUUCAAAAACGAAAAUUUCAAAAGAACCAACAAAUUGUAAAAUGUGCAAAACCAAUAUCAGUUAUAGUAGGCAUGGGCGCCCAUUGGGAGGGGCAAGGGGGGCACUUGCCCCUCCCCCUGGAAAAAAAAUAUUAAAAACUUGUAACUCAAUAAAUAUUACCAUAAUAUAAUUAUUAUCUUUACAUUUGAGAAUUUUUUAUUUUGACCCCCCCCCCCCUAAAAUUUUACUUAUGGGCGCCCAUGUUAGUAAGUAAUGGUGCUUCAACUUCUAACUUACACGAUCACAUUUACUAAAGAAUAUGGUGUAUAGCAACAUAAUCUUACAAUGAUAUCAUAUACUUUUCGAUACUAUAUUUAAAAAAUAUAUUUUUUAGAUUAAUUAAAUGAUUAGUUAACUUUUUAAUAUAUUAUACCAUUUUAAUUGAUAUUGAUAUGACGUUAAACUUGGUGUAUUGAAUAUUUUUAUUAUUAUUUUAAUAUAUUUAAUCAAUAUUAAUAUUCCUACAAUACUUUUACUGUAUAUAUUUAUUAUUGUUCAUUUUUUGUUUAAUAGAAUCAGCUAAUAAUGUAGUGUAUAACAGCAUAAUC